ACAAACAGAAAAUAAAGGGCUCAGGCGUAUGAGUACACAGGUUUAAGCCAACAGAACACAUAUUAUUCUGCUUUUAAUUUGACAGCAAAAAAGAUAUCUGAAUUGAGCAGAUUUAUUAUAUGAAAAUGGCAUACAUAAGGUUAAGAAGCAAUAUUUUUAAAAAUUCUCAAGUUAAAGGAGAACGAUAUAUUUAAGCAUGAGAUAUGUUUCUGUGUUUUAAAAUGUAUAUGGGAUUUGGGGGUUUUGACAUCGAGAAAUCACUUCAUUUCAUUGCACUUUCACCCAACUACAUGAUAUAGAAAGGAGAGACUUGAUUGUUUACUUCUUCAUGUAAUCUGAGAAGAUAAAAUUUCAAAUUACAGCUAUAACAACAGAUAGAGAUCCCAUCUAGUUAAAAAAUAUCCAUAAGCGUCAUUUUGCUGAAUGUAUAAAACAACAAGAGCAACAGAAAUAUUUUCAGUCAUACUUCAAGCCACCUAAAAAUUCUUUGGGGAUCAAUUCCUUCCCUUCUAUAGCAAAGUAACAUGUGUAUAUGUACUACAAAUCUAAAGGCAAAUAGGCUUGUUCCUAUUCACUUGUCCUUGCAAUGAAGCAUCUGCUCACUAUUUUGUUUUUUUGCUGCUGUUAUUUCUUUUCUGAAUGCUCCAAUUCAAAAACAUCAGCCUACCACCUUUUUUAGUUGUUAAAUCUCCCUGUCCUGUGGCUACAUCUCUGUGCACCAGAGAAAAGAUCUCUUUAACAAAGUAGAUCUGUGUGUCCUUAACACUGAGGCCCCUGGCUUGCAGCUGGAGGCAGCUCUCUGCUCAACUGCCGUGGAGAGUGACACAGGCAGGCGACAUCGUCACUGAACACCAACUUCUGUUACAUCCAGGCAGGCUGUGGUAUCCAUUUCAGAACCUCGGCAAGACAUAAGAGAAGCAAAGGGGUAGCCGCAAAGUUUUGGAUAAGACCUCUACAUGCAACUGGCAGCACAGUGUACCCAGGUGGUGGGUCUCGUCUGUGACAAUGUAUUUUUCUGUCUGUGCAAUUGAAUAUGGCUGUAAAGGGAAUAAAACCCCAUGUAAUCUCCA